CAGUUCAUGGGGUCGCCAAGAGUCAGACAUGACUGAGUGACUGAACUGAACUGAACGAGUUAGGAGGCUGGUGGAGUGGUCCAGCCCAGAGGUGGUGGUGGGGUGGUCCAGCGUGGAGGUGGUGGUGGGGUAGUCCAGGCAAGAGGUGAUGGUGGAACGGUCCAGGCAGGAGGUGAUGUGGGGUGGUCCAGCCUGGAGGUGGUGGUGGUGUAGAUGGGAGUGUUGUGGGACAAUGGAGAGAGUAGGCUGGUCUGUGGGAUGUUUUGAAGUUGAACUGGUAGGACUUGCUGACAGAUUGGAUUUGGGGAGUGGGAAGGGCAGCAGGGGUGACUUCUGAGUGUGUGUCUUGAUUGGGUAAAUAGAGAUGCCGGUUAUUGACAGGAAGAAGUAGUUUGAAGAGGGGGUGGGUGGGGAUUGAGAUGUGAGAAGUGUUACCUUCCUUGUUCCUGUGAGCCUCUUUGUAAAUCCUUUUAAAAGUGGAACUUCACAGUUCUGACUUCUGUGCUAUUGUUACAGAGGACCCAGAGAGGAAAUGCCUUGUGCAGGAGGCAUCUGGCAGUGUCCAGCUGGUUUCAUGCCUUCAAAACAGCAGAGAAAGAAAUCUUUUUGUUGCUCAAAUAUUUUGGAAACUCUCAGAAAAAUUCUUUGGGAUGACUGGGAGGACUUGUCCACAUUAGCUGUUAUUGAUUCCUGAGUGGCGUCCUGCUCCGUGUGUGCUUAAUUGGCCUGUGAUUCUGUCUCAACUCGUCUCACAAAGAACAGCUCCUCACGGGGCGGGGCGGAGCUGUGGGCCGCCCUCCAGCUGGAUCUGACACAGUGUCCUGUUCUCAAGACAAUGAGAAAAGAGGAAAGGAAAAAUGCAACCUUUAUAUUAGCUUUUAGCUCCUGAACUCUAUUUUGCAAACCAUUUGUGUGUUUGGUAAUACCCGUCCCCCCCCCCCCCCCCCCCGUUUUUUUCUCCUUUGGUAAGUUCAGUGACAAAAAAGGUCAAGACUCCGAUCACACUUGUGACUAUCACACCAGAGCUGCCCUUCGCCCAGAGGACUGAGAAAACAGAGUGGCUCUGGAGCACGCCUCUCCUGUAGCCUUCGGGUCUUCCCAGAAAGCUCCAGGGGUCUUUGAUUUGGUCUGGGCUCUGUGAGGACGGCUCCUACCUGGCCGAGUUCCUGCUGGAGAAGGGCUACGAGGUGAGUCUCCGAGCUGGUGGAAUCCCGCGGCCUGCGCGGCCUCCUGCUUCCUCUGCUUCCUCUGUGCGUGUUUUCCACGGAAACUCUGAUAAGGAGGCAGGGGCGGAAUGAGCCCCCGGGCCUGUCCCCGCGCCAGCCCAUUGUGCAGUUUAUCUGCUGGCGAACGCGGGCGGCCCCCCUCCCUGCUCCUGGCUCUGCACGCUCCCCACAUUCUCAGAUAAACCAGCAGCCACCAUGCCCUUCUCGGGUGACUUUAUGAGGUCGUGGCUGCACAAAAAAGCCCCACUCCCAGUGAAGUCCCUUGAUUUGCACCGAGCAGUAGCAGCUACGCUGCCCUCCAGGCUGAGCGGCAGAGCUGACCUCGGGGCGCUGGCUUUCCAGCCCUUGGCCGGUGGGUUGGGGAGGCUGGUGCAGCAGCUGUGUUUGCUGCCCUUGCCCUCAUCUUCCUUUCCUGCUGCUUCUCCUCCUUCCAAGUUUACUGCUUUCCCCAGUACAAACGAGAGUUUUAUGUAUGAAAUGGGUGUAGCUCUGUGUGUGCACCUUACCCUUUUUAAGAACGGUGUUUGGAUAUGCGCCUCUCUAGAGACUUGUGCUCUGCAGUGAACAGAAUCCCAAGCAGCGGCCCCCAUGUUCCCCCUGAUGCGGGGGUGUUUGCAUGAAUAACAUGGGGUGCCACAUUUUUCCAGUGGCAGGUGUGCUGUUUAAAAAAUGUGCAUGCACAUGGACCAGUGGAAAAACAAUAGCAAGGGAUCUGGCAGCUGAGCACCAGCAGGAUUGAAAGAAAAGGAAUGUAGUUUUGGGUUUUUUUUUUUUACUGUAACUCAUAAUUUUUGAGAACUUUGACUCUUAGACUUUAAUUAGGAGCAGAUAUGAUUUAACCUUCUGUGCCCUUAUCAAAUAAUAACUAGUUCUUCAUCUUGUAAUGCCAUCAAGAUAGGUAAAAUGUAGUUAUAGAAAUAUACACACAUGUUCAUAUACAUGGAUUCCUGUAAUAAUUGGGUGAUCAAUAUGUAUUCUGCAAAGCAGAGCAUUUUAGAGUUAUGUUAUAUAUGGUAUCAUUAGAGAAGGAAAUGGCAACCCCCUUGGAACAGGCCAACUCCAGUAUUCUUGCCUGGAGAAUCCCAUGGACAGGGGAGCCUGGCAGGCUACAGUCCAUGGGGUCACACAGAGUCAGACACGAGUGAGCACGCACACACACCCACACACACGAGUGGUCAUAAAGAGAGCAGAUCUAGCCUGUGUUCAUUAUUUACAGAACGUCUGCAGGUGUCAUCCUGUGAUGAGAAAAGCCAAUAAUUCUCAGGUUUUGUAGAAAAUCUCCCUUUAACCUUUAUGGAUUUAAUUCUACACAUGGUUAAAAUGCAGAGGGCAAUUUGCCCCUUGUAGUGUGCCAGCCAACUUGGAGCAGGGGGUGAGCAGGCAGGGUGCUUCCGAGGCAGCCCUUGGCCAUCCCCACGCAGGACUGUGUCCUUAUCCUUUGCCAGCUCCACGGCCUCUCGGAGACUUAGGAACUGCGUACCUGUGUCCCCCAGAUCAUGGUGAAGAGCAGGUGAGAUGCAUGUGGGCAUCAGUGCAGAGGAGCCCAGGGGCCCCGGGGGCUGACCCUCAUAGGAGAGGCAGGGGGUGCAGCUCGGUGCUGACCAGCCGAGGGACGCAGACUUUGCAGGAGGCCCUUAGUCCCGCCUGUCACUUUCACCAGGGAAGGGCGGGUGUGUGAUGUUGCCCAAGCCCUAGCCCUGCACCUGCUUCUUUUCAUAGCGAGGGAAAAGGAAACCAGAGGAGGGAAGCUUCCUGUGAAGAUACCUCUGGUUGCAGCUGCCUUCCUGGUAUCGUCGUUAGCAGAUAAGCCAACAAUAUGCUUUUGUACCUCUUUGUG